rnacentral:rRNA from 1 species
GACGACGCUGGCGGCGUGCUUAACACAUGCAAGUUGAACGGGCAUACAUGGAAGCUUGCUGAAGUGUAUGUUAGUAGCGGACGGGUGAGUAAUGCAUGAGAAGCUGCCAUUGGGAGGGGGACAACAGUUGGAAACGGCUGCUAAUACCCCGUAUGCCGAAAGGUAAAAGGGAGCAAUCCGCCUGAUGAGGUGCUCAUGUCCUAUCAGCUGGUUGGUGGGGUAACGGCCUACCAAGGCGACGACGGGUAGCCGGCCUGAGAGGGUGAACGGCCACACUGGAACUGAGAUACGGUCCAGACUCCUACGGGAGGCAGCAGUGGGGAAUAUUGGGCAAUGGGGGAAACCCUGACCCAGCGACGCCGCGUGAGGGAAGACGGCCUUCGGGUUGUAAACCUCUUUUGUACGGGAAGAAGGAAGUGACGGUACUGUACGAAUAAGUCCCGGCUAACUACGUG